AUGUAUUUGUGGCCAAUCAAGCCAGCUGAAACAACUUUGUCACGCGAAUUUGGCUUCUUUAAUUGCAGAACAUCUCUCUUGCUGAAGUCUUCCUCAAUUCUCUCCGCAAGGAAUUCUUUACAGUACGCUGUGGGUUCAAACAGGAAAAUAAUCAAGAAGGUGGGAAGGAAUGAGCACCACUUAUGGAAGAAAAAAGACUCAGCUGGGUCUGGACAGAAGACACUCAAUCUUGUUAUAAUUGUUUCUGAUCUUCCUGAUGAGAAAGAGGCUAUUUUUGGAGCAUUGGAUAAAUGGACAGCUUAGGAGACAGAAUUCCCACUGAUUGCAGCAGCGAAGGCUUUGAGAAUUUUGAGGAAGAGGAGUCAGUGGAUGCGUGUAAUUCAAGUGGCAAAGUGGAUGCUAAGCAGAGGUCAAGGAGCAACAAUGGCAACAUAUGACACUCUUCUACUGGCAUUUGAUAUGGAUCAUAGGCUAAAUGAGGCUGGAUCACUGUGGAACAUGAUUCUGCAUACACAUACACGCUCUAUCCCAAAACGGCUAUUUUCUGGGAUGAUCUCUUUGUAUGAUCAUCAUGAAAUGAAAAAUAAGAUAAUAAAGGUAUUCGCAUAUAUGGAAGAGUUGAGUGUAAGACCUGAUGAAGAUAUUGUCAAGAGAGUGGCACAUGUUUUUCAGGAGCUAGGCGAAGAAGACAAGAGCAGACUUGUUUUGAGAAGAUAUGGGUGUAAAUGGAAGUACAUUCACUUCCAGGGUGAAAGGGUUAAAGUGAAAACUAAUGCAUGGGAUGAAGGUGACAUCCUUCCAAUGAGGACAGCAAAAUCUGAUCGUGGUACCUGUUUUGUGUGUCAAAACAGACUUGUAAAUGUUCAAGGAUGACAAGCAAUAUUUCUGAAGAUAGAGUACAAGUUUUCCUUCUUUAUAUCUCAUAGAAUUAUGAAGAUAUGUACAAACACUGAAUAAGAUCCACUCUUAAAUCUAAAAGUAGGAA